UACCAGCACCCCGAGUGGUCGGGACGAUUAUUGGGCCUAAAGCAUCCGUAGCCGGUCCUGCAAGUCUUCCGUUAAAUCCAGCUGCUUAACAGGUGGGCUGCGGAAGAUACUAUAGAGCUAGGAGGCGGGAGAGGCAAGCGGUACUCGAUGGGUAGGGGUAAAAUCCGUUGAUCCAUUGAAGACCACCAGUGGCGAAGGCGGCUUGCCAGAACGCGCUCGACGGUGAGGGAUGAAAGCUGGGGGAGCAAACCGG
rnacentral:rRNA from 1 species